rnacentral:rRNA from 1 species
UACGGGGGGGAGCAAGCGUUGUUCGGAUUUACUGGGCGUAAAGGGCGCGUAGGCGGUCAGCACAAGUCAGUUGUGAAAUCUCCGGGCUUAACUCGGAAAGGUCAACUGAUACUGUGCGACUAGAGUGCGGAAGGGGGCAACUGGAAUUCUCGGUGUAGCGGUGAAAUGCGCAGAGAUCGGGAGGAACACCCGUAGCGAAGGCGGCGCUCUGGGGCCGGUACUGACGCUGAGGAGCGAAAGCGUGGGGAGCAAACAGG